rnacentral:rRNA from 1 species
UACGUAGGGGGCGAGCGUUGUCCGGAUCUAUUGGGCGUAAAGAGCUCGUAGGCGGUUCGAUAAGUCGGACGUGAAAUCUCCACGCUCAACGUGGAGGGGCCGUUCGAUACUGUCGUGACUCGAGUCCGGUAGGGGAGUGUGGAAUUCCCGGUGUAGCGGUGAAAUGCGCAGAGAUCGGGAGGAACACCCGUAGCGAAGGCGGCACUCUGGGCCGGUACUGACGCUGAGGAGCGAAAGCGUGGGGAGCAAACAGG